rnacentral:rRNA from 1 species
AUUGAACGCUGGCGGCAGGCCUAACACAUGCAAGUCGAACGGUAACAGGAAGAAGCUUGCUUCUUUGCUGACGAGUGGCGGACGGGUGAGUAAUGUCUGGGAAACUGCCUGAUGGAGGGGGAUAACUACUGGAAACGGUAGCUAAUACCGCAUAACGUCGCAAGACCAAAGAGGGGGACCUUCGGGCCUCUUGCCAUCGGAUGUGCCCAGAUGGGAUUAGCUAGUAGGUGGGGUAACGGCUCACCUAGGCGACGAUCCCUAGCUGGUCUGAGAGGAUGACCAGCCACACUGGAACUGAGACACGGUCCAGACUCCUACGGGAGGCAGCAGUGGCGAAUAUUGCACAAUGGGCGCAAGCCUGAUGCAGCCAUGCCGCGUGUAUGAAGAAGGCCUUCGGGUUGUAAAGUACUUUCAGCGGGGAGGAAGGGAGUAAAGUUAAUACCUUUGCUCAUUGACGUUACCCGCAGAAGAAGCACCGGCUAACUCCGUG